rnacentral:rRNA from 1 species
AACACGUGGAUAACCUACCUAUAAGACUGGGAUAACUUCGGGAAACCGGAGCUAAUACCGGAUAAUAUUUUGAACCGCAUGAUUCAAAAGUGAAAGACGGUCUUGCUGUCACUUAUAGAUGGAUCCGCGCUGCAUUAGCUAGUUGGUAAGGUAACGGCUUAUCAAGGCAACGAUGCAUAGCCGACCUGAGAGGGUGAUCGGCCACACUGGAACUGAGACACGGUCCAG